rnacentral:lncRNA from 1 species
GAUUGCAAUAGGAACAAAGUUUAUCCGAAUUAUCAGGUCGAUUAAACUUUGGUCGCGGGUCAUAUUGCACCUUGAAAGCCAUGACGCCUUCUCGAUUAGAGGCCACUGUGUCGGUCGAGAUUAGCCUCUCUGCCUGAAUAAUUUGCUGAUAUGAUUUGUCCACCCCCGGAAGAGGGUCUUGAGCAAGAAGUUGUCCUCGGAUGGAGGCAAACUUGUCAUUAUCCGAAUUAUCAGGUCGAUUAAACUUUGGUCGCGGGUCAUAUUGCACCUUGAAAGCCAUGACGCCUUCUCGAUUAGAGGCCACUGUGUCGGUCGAGAUUAGCCUCUCUGCCUGAAUAAUUUGCUGAUAUGAUUUGUCCACCCCCGGAAGAGGGUCUUGAGCAAGAAGUUGUCAUCGGAUGGAGGCAAACUUGUCAUCUAAACCAAUCAAAAAAUGAUGUACGAAGU